rnacentral:misc_RNA from 1 species
GAUGAAGAACGCAGCGAAAUGCGAUACGUAAUGUGAAUUGCAGAAUUCAGUGAAUCAUCGAAUCUUUGAACGCAUAUUGCGCUCUCUGGUAUUCCGGAGAGCAUGCUUGUUUGAGUAUCAGUAAACACCUCAACUCCCUUUUCUUUUUUGAAAUUGGAGCUGGACUUGAGUGAUCCCAACGCUUUCUUCCAAGAAAGUGGCGGGUUGCUUGAAAUGCAGGUGCAGCUGAACUUUUCUCUGAGCUAUAAGCAUAUCUAUUUAGUCUGCCUAAAAAACAGAUUAUUAUCUUUGCUGCAGCUAACAUAAAGGAGACUAGUUCUUGUGCUGACUGAUGCAGGAUUCACAGAGACAGCUUCGGCUGACUUUGUAAACUCGAUCUCAAAUCAAGUAAGACUACCCGCUGAACUUAAGCAUAUCAAUAAGCGGAGGA